rnacentral:lncRNA from 7 species
GUUAAAUACAUCUAGCACAUUUUUGUCAAGCAUGACAGUACGACAUGAAACGUUAUCAUAGAGCUAUCUCUAAUUGUUUGCUCUAUCGUGAGCCAACACCUAGUCUAACCUCAUUUUUAUACCAUAAUAUACCUGGUAGCCAAAUCCAUUGUAUUAUGACACAUAACCUAUCUAUAAACCUUCAAACACUGAAUUAUGCUACAUAGCAUUUGCAUUGAAUAUGUU